rnacentral:lncRNA from 1 species
GCACUCCCGCCCCGGCGCACCCUGCUCCCCGGCGCGUACCCAGGGGCCACGAUUUUGGCUGGGCGAAAGCGGCCCGCUCCCGCCUCUCCUUGAGUGCGCUGAUUACAUCUACCGGAGACACCUUCCCUUCCCUUGGGGAUCCCAACUCUCAGCUCUUCAGAAAGCAAUGACAAGGCAUCUGACUCAUCCUCCUGCACCUCUUUUCAAUUACUGACUUAAACCAGAUUACAGUUGCUGUCAGGCUUGAAGACUGAGACUUACUGAUACGUGUAUCCUAGAAGUACCUGACACAGUAACACACUGCCUUACCUUGGGAGAGAGAAAAGGAGCUGCUUACAGAAGAUGCUCCCUGGGGCAGCAGAGGCCAGAGCCAUCAGAAGCAGUCCCAAUGGCCAGGGACGGUGGCCAGAUAACAGGGCAGCCUGGGAUGCACAGAGCGGCUAAGAAGACGCUGGCACUUGCACAGGGUAUUCUGCUGCCACCUUGAUGCAGCUGAGCUUGGUUUGGAAGACAGUCCGGAGGCAAGUGAUAAACAGUAGGAGGAGCAACGGGAGAAUUUCUUUCCCCCUAUUCCCUGGCCAGUCUCCUUCCUUCCAGUUCAAUUACGUCUAAAUGCAAAGAGGCUUUCCUACAAGUGAGGAGGGUGGGGUACAAAACACCCCAAAACCCAGUCAGUAGCUCCUCCUCACAGCAGCUUUCAAAAUUUCUCUUGCCACUUAACACAUAGGCAGAAGGAGGAGGGAACACCCUUCAUCCUCAGCCCUCCUCCCUUUCCCCCAGGUUGAUGCUGUGAAGUCCUCCCCAGUUAUUACCCACUCCCACAGCCUCCCCUCCUUCUUGGCCUUAUUAACCUGUCUUGCCCUCGGGUACAAACAUAAAUUGUGCACAAACGCCAUGCAAGGAAGUGAUGCCUCCUCAACUGCCAUUGGCAAAUCAGAGGACCUAAGCGUGUGUAAUCACACUCAUCAGAAGUUAUCUCCCAUCUAAGCAUUUAAGUGUCAUCGGUCCUGUAGAACACUGUAGUUCUGCUAGAGAACUGGCAUUCCAGUUUAAAGCAGCAACUUCAUAAAGGCAUGGUAUCUACUUCCUGUUAUUGACUAUUCACUGUGGUUGGUUCUCUAGAUGUCACAGGAAACUUAUCAGAAUGUAAAGACUUCAUAAAAGAAAGAGAAUAAAGAAAUAGCUAGCAUAUAA